UGGACAGCGACUGAUCAAGAGUUCUGACCGCCCUAGGCUAAUUAUUAGGACGCGCCCCCGCUAGGUGUGUUACGGACGGCCUAAAAAGUAAUCGAUCUGCAAGCGAAACUAACGUUGUCUUUUAAUCUACAUGACAUUCGACCUUAGGGUGGCAAACCAUUUUUUAAGCUGACCGUACAUAAAGGCAAAGUACCUCACGCAUUUAGGACCAAAAUCAUGACAAGUGACUGCAGGCUACCAAGUAGAAAACCAAAUCCAUGCCGUGUUUGGUCGCAUGACUUGUAUUGGCUAAGUUUCUAUAGACAACUUAGUUGCCAUUGCCAUUGACCAUGAGCGUGGUCAUCUAGUGUGUGAAGUUGCUUCGACUUGAGUAUUUUUUAAAUAUUUACUCUAGAGAAAAAAUAAAAAUUAAAUAU